rnacentral:rRNA from 1 species
UACGUAGGGUGCAAGCGUUAAUCGGAAUUACUGGGCGUAAAGCGUGCGCAGGCGGUUAUGUAAGACCGAUGUGAAAUCCCCGGGCUUAACCUGGGAACUGCAUUGGUGACUGGCAGGCUUUGAGUGUGGCAGAGGGAGGUAGAAUUCCACGUGUAGCAGUGAAAUGCGUAGAGAUGUGGAGGAAUACCGAUGGCGAAGGCAGCCUCCUGGGCCAACACUGACGCUCAUGCACGAAAGCGUGGGGAGCAAACAGG